AAACCUCGACUUUAUCUUUCUCAAAACUCUUCGAUGGGAAUCCAUGGCGAUUCGAAGCUUCUCGAUUGCUUGAGUGAUCCACGCUUGAGUGACUUUGAUCCAUCACGAUUCAAAGAAGUCCAUGACUCCUGAGCUUCAAGAUCUUCAUCGAUGAGAACGCCAUGAAUCUGAUUUGGAAAAAAAUCAAAACGAUGGUUGGAAACACGUUAGAUCCACCAGGACUUCUCGAAUCCUAUCUCUUAAGGUGAUUUGGAAUGGUUUCCAAGAGUCCGACGAAGACGUCUGUGGGUUGUCAUUUUUUUUUGAAUCUUCAAUUCUCACGACAUAUUAAAGAUAAGUUAUUACUUGAAUCUUUGUAUUCUUUUACAAUAGUAUGAAAUCGUCUAUGUUUUACAUUUUACCAGACGGUGAACCUAAGUUUGAUACAAUUUAUGUACAGGUCAUGCAUUGGCAAUCUUUUGAAACAAAGCUUUACUGGGAACUGGAAGACAUGUGACAGAGAUAAGACACGCCAUCAAUAAGAUCCGGCUUACUUAAGGUGCAAGAAAUCAGUACAUGAUUUGGACAUGGCAACUAUGGAAUCUCCCUCAUAGAUACGCCCAUAUCAGAUCUCCACUUGAUAAAGGAUGAUCGGUUGCUCGGUACAUGCCAGUUGAAGGACUGAGGGUGAAAUUCUGGAUGUGCCUCCAUGCUCCAACAGGAAGCAGGCGGCCUUUACUCUCCAUAAUACUCACAGCUUCAUCGGAUAGCACCAUCUCGAGGGUGUCCCCGUGCACUGGGUUGUACUGCUUCCAAGAGUGCAGAACCUUCACAUGCACUUUCCAGCCACUCUUGUAAGGUUUCACAUCUUUCAAAGGGGUCACUUUCAUUGCGGUAGACAUUUUUUUUUUGAUUGCGAAUGUAGUUGUGAGUAAAUGUGAGAAAGCUUAGGCAUGUUGUAGGUGUUUAUAUAGUAGUAGGUUAAUCGAUGGUUGUAAAUGUCUGGUAAAAAAAUAUUGCUGGUAUAUUCUUAGUUCUCUAUAGGAAAACGUUAAGAGUAUUGAUCAAGAAAAAAUAUUUAGAGCUC